AGAGUUUGAUCAUGGCUCAGAACGAACGCUGGCGGCAUGCUUAACACAUGCAAGUCGAACGCGUGGUUUCGGUUCGCCGGGGCCACGAGUGGCGCACGGGUGAGUAGCGCGUGGGAACCUGCCCUGUUGUGGGGGAUAACCGAGGGAAACCUCGGCUAAUACCGCAUAAGCCGGCUGGUCUAGAGAUGGACUGGCCGGGAAAGAUUUAUCGCGACAGGAGGGGCCCGCGUCGGAUUAGCUAGACGGUGGGGUAACGGCCUACCGUGGCGAUGAUCGGUAGCUGGUCUGAGAGGACGGCCAGCCACACGGGGACUGAGACACGGCCCCGACUCCUACGGGAGGCAGCAGCAAGGAAUCUUCCGCAAUGGGGGCAACCCUGACGGAGCAACGCCGCGUGGGGGAUGACGCCCUUCGGGGUGUAAACCCCUUUUCUGCGGGAAGAAGGUGGGGCAACCCACUUGACGGUACCGCAGGAAGAAGGACCGGCUAACUACGUGCCAGCAGCCGCGGUAAUACGUAGGGUCCGAGCGUUGUCCGGAGUUACUGGGCGUAAAGCGCGCGCAGGCGGCGGUGCUGGCCCGGCGUGAAAGCCCCCGGCUCAACCGGGGAGGGUCGUCGGGGACCGCACCGCUUGAGGGCGGUAGGGGCUGGUGGAAUGCCUGGUGUAGUGGUGAAAUGCGUAGAGAUCAGGCGGAACACCCGUGGCGAAGGCGGCCAGCUGGGCCGUCCCUGACGCUGAGGCGCGAAGGCGUGGGGAGCGAACGGGAUUAGAUACCCCCGUAGUCC
rnacentral:rRNA from 1 species